rnacentral:lncRNA from 1 species
ACUUGAUCUUGAAGGUGGAUUUGAGCGGAUCUUCAAAGGGGCUUUUGGGCUUGAUCUUUGAAGAACAGUGACGAACGGAUCUCCAAGGGCUUUUGGGCUUGAUCUUGAAGAACAGUGACGAACGGAUCUCCAAGGGCUUUUGGGCUUGAUCUUGAAGAACGGUUGGAUGUGUGGAUUUGUCGACGUUUGUUGAUCCAAAGGGCCGUUGGGGCUUGAUCUUGGAUGAACUGAUGAUGAACGAUGGUGCUUUCUUCAAGGGCCGUCGGGGCUUGAUCUUGAAUUGGUGGAUGGUUGAUCCAAGGGCCGUCGGGGCUUGAUCUUGGAAGAACGAUGAACGAAGAACGAAGAACACUUUCUUCAAGGGCCGUCGGGGCUUGAUCUUGAAUUGGUGGAUGAUUGUUGAUCCAAAGGGCCGUCGGGGCUUGAUCUUGGAAGAACGAUGAACGAAGAACGAAGAAGGCUUUCUUGAUUCUUCGGGAACCUGGAUGCUUGAGAGCUUCGGAGUUUCAGAGCUUCAGAGCUUCAAGGUGUAAUAUGAAUUGGUUCCUCAAAUGAAUGAAAUGGGCUUGUAUUUAUAGAAUUUUCCAAAGCCUAAUUUUGAAUAUAAUACCCUAGAUGAAAUAAGUCGUUUCUGCCAGGUGUUGACACGUGUCCUAUUUGAUGACUUUUCCAACUCAUUUCAAUUUUCGUUGAGUCACACGUUACGUGUAAAAUUUAUGUAAUACAUGAGCGUUGACACUUUGAUUUAUCGGUCAACAUUUAUUUACCGAAAUUUCGAUGUCUACAAAUGCCCCCACUUCAAGGCGCGUCGUAUACAUGUGCUUGUCACGUGUAAGAGAUGUGUUUUGAAGUCCCUUACUGUAGAUGUUGAUCCAAGGGCCGUCGAGGCUUGAUCUUGAAUUGGGCUGGAGAUUUCUUCAAGGGCCGUUGAGGCUUGAUCUUGAAUUGGGCUUGAGAUUUCUUCAAGGGCCGUUGAGGCUUGUUCUUGAACUUUUGUUUGAAAUUUCUUCAAGGGCCAUCUUGAUCUUGAAGGUUGAAAUUGGACCACAAGGAGUUUCAUGUGGUAGAUGAUCUUUGGCUUUGGUAGUGGGUGAAUCGGCACGUAUUUUGUUGCGCUUGUUGACUUUCCACAGCUUUGAUCUUGAACUGGGUUGGAGGGUUUUCUGGAUUCCUCCAAUUGUUGAUUUUCCACAGCUUAUUCUUGAACUAGGUUUUGAUUCAAGAGUGGUAGACACUUGAUCUUGAAUCGGACUUGUGAUUUCUUCCAGGGCCGUCAAGGCUUGAUUUUGAAUUUGGCUGGAAGCUUCUUCAAGGGCCGUUGAGGCUUGAUUCUUGAAGGUUAACUCGAACACAUGGCAAGCAGGCACGAGGUGAAGGUGACAACCUGUUUCUUUGUUCAAUCCUUCUAAUUCACACCUGAGCAGUUUGGUCAACGGUAUGAUCUUCA